AGUACGGUUUUCUAUCCCCUGACGUCAUCUGGCCAGCUGAUGCGUGUGUUGUUGAUGACCAUGUAUCUGCCUAUAAAAGCGUUUCAGUUCACGUUAUGCGGGUGCGUUUGUUCCAUCAGCGAGCGAGCCGCCGUACUUCCGGGUUUUUGUGUACGAAUGGUAGUAAGGUAAGGGCUGCUUUCAGUGAAUGAUUUGCAAUGUUUAUGGUGUAUUGCACUGGGCUUUAUGAAAUUCAUUGACUUAAGGGUGGACUGAGGAGCUUUUCGGGAAACCCGUCAAUCGCUGCGUGAAUGGAGACGUUUACAUUACACGUCUCCAUCUGUGCUUCGUGAGUUCCAAUACAGAUAUGUGGUGACUUUACUCCUAAUGUUAUAAAGGCUGUAAUGAUUGAUUGAUUGAGUAAAGUGCGUUAUUUUCCUAUUUAAGGUGUGGGUCAAUGUGCAAGGGACGUUACAGUGGGUUGCUGUAGUGGGCUUGCUGCUGGCUGCGUGGCUUUCUUGCGCUACGUGCAUCGCUUGCACUGCUGGCUUUACCAUCUGCUUUCAACUGCAGCCGCUUUGCGCUACGUCAUCAUCUGGGCUGUACUAACUCUACUGAAGGGUUUUGCGCUACGUCAUCUGUGCUCUGCUUUGCCUGCAUCGCUCUGCUUUGCCUGCUUCGCUCUGCAUUGUCUGCUUCGCUUGGGUCAGCUGGGCAUUCUAAUUUACAUUUCUGACGGGUGGCGCUCUGUGCUGCUGCUGGUUUGCGCUGUUUGCGGCGUUGCUGGGUUAUACCAGCUGAUUAACAUUGCGCUGCUCAUGUGUUAAUAGUUUACUGUUGCAGCAUUGCAGUAUUUCGCAGGAUCAGCUGGACCGUGGUCUGGAUUUGGGGCGUGGUGCUUAUCCAAUUGUAGCUUUUCAUUGCCUCUGUAACCAGUUUACAGGCUUCCUGCCUAUUGCCUGUUUGGUAGCUGGGGUGACCGGACGCGGCGCCUACAGUGUGGGUUGGCCGUAUCAGCAGAUUGUUCCUUUAAGGUGGUGGGCUCCUUAUUUGGUUGCAGUGCUGUGUUCACAGUGAGGUGUGCCGUGCUGUAGUGUGCUGUGGUGCGUGUGUGCACGUGUGAGUGCUGUGUGCUUUCUGCUCAAAGAACGUCAGGCCUUCUCCCACCCUGAAGUGUUGUUUGUCUUUCUUAUUUGCUACUUUUACUAUUUGAUAACGUGAAUAAAAUUGAAUUCAUUUUAAAUAAAGCUUUUCUGAUUGACUCCA